UUUCCCACUUGACUACCACAUUUUCUCCUAAUAGAUUUUAGUGGCUAUGCUUAUGGGAUAGAUGAAAGGUGCCACGAUCUGAGGGGGGAGGACUCUUCAGUGUCCACCCUCUAUAUGAAGUGGCUGGACAAACCAUU